AAUGAACGUUGGCGGCGUGGAUUAGGCAUGCAAGUCGCGCGACAAGGAACCUUCGGGUUCUGGAGGAGCGGCAAACGGGGUAGUAAGGCAUCGGAACGUACCCUCUUGUUGGGAAUAGCCGCGGGAAACUGCGAGUAAUACCCAAUAAUCCCUACGGGGCAAAGGUCCGCCGCAGGAGGAGCGGCCGAUGUGAUACCAGCUAGUUGGUGAGGUAAUGGCUCACCAAGGCUUAGACGUCUAGGGGGUGUGAGAGCAUGGCCCCCCACCACUGGGACUGAGAUACUGCCCAGACACCUACGGGUGGCUGCAGUCGAGAAUCUUCGGCAAUGGGCGCAAGCCUGACCGAGCAACGCCGCGUGCGGGAUGAAGGCCCUUGGGUUGUAAACCGCUGUCAGGGGGGAUGAAAGCGCAAGCUUGACAGAGCCCCAGAGGAAGCACGGGCUAAGUUCGUG
rnacentral:rRNA from 1 species